rnacentral:sRNA from 1 species
UUUACUUUUUAUAUUAUUAAAAUAAAAUAUCACGACCGGGAAUAGGUACAAAUUAAACACACGUCAACAAAUAAAAUACAAGGUAAUAUAACAAUGUAUAAUAAUCCACCACAGCAUUUUAAUAAUAAUAUUUAAAUUAAAACCUAAUCUUUAAAAACUUAUAUUAAACUUGCAAUUUUCAAAACUCCAAAAUCCCUAUUUAUAAACGGCGGUUGGAUUGCGUUUACUUAACCCGAAUUUAAAAUUUGACAAGACCCAGCCCCUGAAAUAGGACGCUAAUAUUUAAAUUAAAAUAGGUUUGUACGUAAUAAUUAUUCCCCUUUAAUAAAAACGUCCUCGUUUUAGGUAAUAAUCUAAAAUAUAAAACCGGGUAAAUUUUUAACAAACGUAUAUAAAUCGCAAUCGUUUCGCGUAAUUUUCCAUUAAUAAUAAAUACUAUUUUCCUCUAAGGAAACAAAGUAUAGCGUUAGCGAUUUAUAAGCCCCACUUAAUUUAUAUAUUUAAAACCUUUUUAAUUUUUCAAUAAAAAACGUUUUAAUUGAAUUUAUUUAUUUUUAUUUCUUUUCCAAUUUAAAAUAUUAGUAGCUUUUUGCCCGCGUUAUUUGCACGUUUUAAUCGCGUCUCUUCCUGCAUUUAACUGACUUUUACUCCCAGUUUUUAUUAUAUUUUUUGCAUUUAAUUGUAUUGCGGGUUUUACCCAAAGAAACGCCCGCAAAUUCCAAACGUCCGUUUCUAUUAAAAUUGGUAUUGAUAUAACCUAUAAUUACACCGUGUAUAGAAAUUAUUUUCGUCGCGCUGUUAAUAUUGCCAAAAAUACCAAACAUUUCCCUAAAUUUAAAUAUAUAUAAGAAACGUUUUGUAAAACGGAUAAAAUAAGCAAAUCUCGCUUUUAAUACAAGAAGAGUUUUAUAUUUAUAAGUUGGUAGGUUAUGCUACUUUUGCGUUAUUAACUUUUUCCUAAUUUCUUAAUUGUUUAAUUAAUAUAUAUUAGGCGAUUGUAUUUAUGGAAAGUAACUUUGUUAAUUUUCUUAUUUAUUAAAUAUUAUAAACCUUGCCACCUAAGUUAACGUCGGCAACAGUUUACCUAAAAGAAUUAACAAAUUGCUUGGGGUUUUAGUAAAUUUUAUAUUAUUUUAUAUAUUUACCAUAUAUUUUGAAAUCGAAAAACGGAAAUGUUUUGGCCAAGUUCAUCUUUUUUAAAAUAAGAGCAGUUUUUUAAAAGUUUUAAAUAAAAUAAAAAUAGCCAAAAUUUAUUAUUUUGAAAUUAUAAAUAUUAUGUUUUUUAAUCCAAUAUAUUUUAGCGUUUUUGUUUAAAAAUUUUCGAUUAACCCACUAUUUUCCCAAACGAUAUAAUAUUAUAUUACAUUUUAUAUUUUGGCAAUCUUCUUAUCUACGGGUUUACUUCCCUAUUACCGCGUUUUUCAAAAAAUAAAUAUAAAGUUUCAAAAAUAUAAUUCUAUUAAAAUUAUAAAAAACGGCGUGGGUGGAAACCGAUUGUUUGUUUUCGCGAUUUUAUACCCGUUAAUAAUAAUAAUAAUAUUUUUAUUAUAAAUAAUAUACCUGGUUUUCUUCAGAAAGCUAUUGCUCUCGUUGCGCCUAUUUAAAAAUUCAGGUUUAUAUGGGUCUUUUCUUUUAUUUACCUUAGAAACUUAGCGCUUUUCUCCGUUUACCUCUUUUUAUACGGAUAGUUCAUUUAUUUUCAAAUUUGGCGUCGUUAUUAUAUUUAAUUCGGGACACGCUUUUUAAAAUAUUAAAAAAACGCAGGUUUGAAAUUCUAAAUAAAUUUACCCGCAGUUUCAACGCUCGAAUUAUAAUUAGCCAGUCGUUUCGCCGCUUUAAUAAUAAAUUUAAUUCCCCGCGUUUUAAUAGGAAUCCCAUUAUUUACUCUCGGCCUACCUUUUAACAAAUAUAUAGGUUUUUUACCAAUAAGGUAAUCUCCCGCGUUUUCCGUUUAUUUUUUCUGGUAAUAUUGGACGAAACUAAUUUUUAAUCAGCGUAUUUUCCGAAAAAAAAAACGUUUUGGUAUUCUUUUGUAAAAUUGCCUAAUAAACGUUAAUAUUAAAUCUGGGUUUGGUUUAGUUUUUUUAUAUAUAAUUUGCUAAUAUUAACUAAAUUCGGAAAGAUUUAAAUCCUUGUUAUAUUUCGUGCGUUAAAUUCCUAUAUUUUUAUUUUAUAAUAAUAACCUUCCAUCCAAUUUGGCUUUUUGGGUUAGUUUUAUAAAACUUACUCUAUUUUCCUUUUUGCAAAUAGGGUUUCCUUGGGUAUAUAUAAACUAUACUAGGUUCACUAGUUAAACCAUUUAAUUAUAUAGUAAAUAACAUUAUUUUUAAUAUAUACGUUUUAAUUUUUUCCACAUUUUAAUUUUUUCAUUUUUUACUUUGGGUAAAAUAGGGUUUUAUAAUUGUUUGGGUUCCGGGGCCUUUAUAAUUUUGGAAUUAUAGCAGAAAACAUUAUAUAACUUAUUUAAUUAUAUUAGUAAAACCAAAUAAUACUUUUGUUUUUCCACGUUAUAUAAAGCUUUAAAAAGCUUAAUAUAUUUAAAUUUAUUUUUGGCGUUUUGUUUCAAAUUUAAUAUUGGGAAUCAAUCAUUAUAUUUAAAUACCUCGCUUCAAUUCCAGAGUUUGUGUUUUUUAUUAUAAUAUUUUUUAUAUUGUUCUAUCAUUUAAAUUCGCUUUUCCCGCCAGUUAUUUUUCAAUUUAAUAAAUUCCUUAAACUUGCUUUAUAUUAUUAAUAUAAUUGUUAUCCCCCCUUUACUAAUACGUCUUCGGCUUUCAAAUAGAAAUUUCUUUUUUCUGCCUAAAAACACCAUUUUAAAUAAUAUAUUUACCAUUUUGAAAUUGCGUUAUCAUAUACGUAUUUAAUUAUAGGUAAAAUAUAUACCUAAAUAUUUUAUUGCUUUUAUGCAUAAUGUUUGAAAUAUCAUUUUAUAAUUUAAUCGGACUUUUUAGUUUGCCUGUUUAUUUGCGGAUAAAAUAUAAUAAAUAUACGUAUUUUAAUAUUUAAUUUGUAAUAACCUUUUUUUCCAAAAUUUAUCCGUAAAUAAUUUAUCCUUAUUUAUAAUAAUCCCCAGUAAAAAUUUAUAACGGUAUUUUGUUUCUUUACUUAAAAAUUAAAUAAACUCGAGAAUUUCCAUAUUGUUUUCAAUGGUUAAAAACCGCGCCAUUUUGGUUAAUUUAUUUAUUACAGUUAAAAUGGCGUUUACUGUAAUAAAAUUAUAUUUUACAUUAGGUAAUCUAAUAAUCAAAUCCAGAAAUCUUUCUUUUCAAAUUUUCUCGGGUAAAGGUAGUAAUUAUAAUAUAAUAUAUUAGCAUUAUUUAAUUGCUUUUACCAAUUUAUAUACCGUAAAAUUUAAAUAACCGAUCAAUAUUAUUUUUUAUCAGUCUCUAAUAAUAUUUCUUUUAAAUUUAAAGUUUUAGCGAUUCCUUAAUAUUUAAUAUAUAAAUUAUUAUAAUAAAACUUCGAAAAUUCUUUGUUUACAUUACAAUUAUUUAGCACGUAAAAUUUUCCCUUAUAAUUAAAAAUAUUACCUAUAAUUACAAUCUAAUUU